rnacentral:sRNA from 1 species
CCAUAGCCCGGAUAGCAGCGGAAAUCCUUUUAUUGCCUAAGAUUUCUCCCAUUGUUCGAAAUGACAUCAUGGCAAUAAAAGAUUGCAGCGUAUAGCCGGAAUAGCU